rnacentral:rRNA from 1 species
CAGUAGCCGCGGUAAUACAGAGGGUGCGAGCGUUAAUCGGAUUUACUGGGCGUAAAGCGUGCGUAGGAGGCUUUUUAAGUCGGAUGUGAAAUCCCUGAGCUUAACUUAGGAAUUGCAUUCGAUACUGGGAAGCUAGAGUAUGGGAGAGGAUGGUAGAAUUCCAGGUGUAGCGGUGAAAUGCGUAGAGAUCUGGAGGAAUACCGAUGGCGAAGGCAGCCAUCUGGCCUAAUACUGACGCUGAGGUACGAAAGCAUGGGGAGCAAACAGGAUUAGAUACCCCCGUAGUCCCUGUCUCUUAUCC